GACGGGCCCGCACAAGCAGCGGAGCGUGUGGCUUAAUUCGAUGUUACACGAAGAACCUUACCAGGGUUUGACGUGCAAGUGGUAGGAAGCCGAAAGGUGACCGACCCUUCGGGGAGCUUGCACAGGUGCUGCAUGGCUGUCGUCAGCUCGUGUCGUGAGAUGUUCGGUUAAGUCCGCUAACGAGCGCAACCCUCGCUGUGUGUUAUAUGUGUCACACGGGACUGCCGGUCUUAAGCCGGAGGAAGGUGGGGAUGACGUCAAGUCAGCAUGACCUUUAUAUCCAGGGCUACACACACGCUACAAUGGUCUGUACAAUGGGUAGCCAAGCCGCGAGGCGGAGCCAAUCCUGAAAGCAGGCCUCAGUUCAGAUUGCAGUCUGCAACUCGACUGCAUGAAGCCGGAGUUGCUAGUAACCGCAGGUCAGCAAUACUGCGGUGAAUACGUUCCCGGGUCUU
rnacentral:rRNA from 1 species